rnacentral:misc_RNA from 1 species
GAAAUGCGAUAAUUAAUAUGAAUUGCAGAAUUCAGUGAAUCAUCGAGUCUUUGAACGCACAUUGCGCCCCCUGGUAUUCCGGGGGGCAUGCCUGUCCGAGCGUCAUUGCUGCCCUCAAGCACGGCUUGUGUGUUGGGCUUCCGUCCCUGGCAACGGGGACGGGCCCAAAAGGCAGUGGCGGCACCAUGUCUGGUCCUCGAGCGUAUGGGGCUUUGUCACCCGCUCCCGUAGGUCCAGCUGGCAGCUAGCCUCGCAACCAAUCUUUUUAACCAGGUUGACCUCGGAUUAGGUAGGGAUACCCGCUGAACUUAAGC